GAUGAACGCUGGCGGCGUGCCUAAUACAUGCAAGUCGAGCGAAUGGAUUAAGAGCUUGCUCUUAUGAAGUUAGCGGCGGACGGGUGAGUAACACGUGGGUAACCUGCCCAUAAGACUGGGAUAACUCCGGGAAACCGGGGCUAAUACCGGAUAACAUUUUGAACCGCAUGGUUCGAAAUUGAAAGGCGGCUUCGGCUGUCACUUAUGGAUGGACCCGCGUCGCAUUAGCUAGUUGGUGAGGUAACGGCUCACCAAGGCAACGAUGCGUAGCCGACCUGAGGGGGUGAUCGGCCACACUGGGACUGAGACACGGCCCAGACUCCUACGGGAGGCAGCAGUAGGGAGUCUUCCGCAAUGGACGAAAGUCUGACGGAGCAACGCCGCGUGAGUGAUGAAGGCUUUCGGGUCGUAAAACUCUGUUGUUAGGGAAGAACAAGUGCUAGUUGAAUAAGCUGGCACCUUGACGGUACCUAACCAGAAAGCCACGGCUAACUACGUGCCAGCCGCCGCCGCCG
rnacentral:rRNA from 1 species